rnacentral:rRNA from 1 species
AGAGUUUGAUCCUGGCUCAGGAUGAACGCUGGCGGCGUGCCUAAUACAUGCAAGUCGAACGCACAGCGAAAGGUGCUUGCACCUUUCAAGUGAGUGGCGAACGGGUGAGUAACACGUGGAUAACCUACCUCAAGGUUGGGGAUAACAUUUGGAAACAGAUGCUAAUACCGAAUAAAACUUCGUAUCGCAUGAUACGAGGUUAAAAGGCGCUACGGCGUCACCUAGAGAUGGAUCCGCGGUGCAUUAGUUAGUUGGUGGGGUAAAGGCCUACCAAGACAAUGAUGCAUAGCCGAGUUGAGAGACUGAUCGGCCACAUUGGGACUGAGACACGGCCCAAACUCCUACGGGAGGCUGCAGUAGGGAAUCUUCCACAAUGGGCGAAAGCCUGAUGGAGCAACGCCGCGUGUGUGAUGAAGGCUUUCGGGUCGUAAAGCACUGUUGUAUGGGAAGAACAGCUAGAGUAGGGAAUGACUUUAGUUUGACGGUACCAUACCAGAAAGGGACGGCUAAAUACGUGCCAGCAGCCGCGGUAAUACGUAUGUCCCGAGCGUUAUCCGGAUUUAUUGGGCGUAAAGCGAGCGCAGACGGUUGAUUAAGUCUGAUGUGAAAGCCCGGAGCUCAACUCCGGAAAGGCAUUGGAAACUGGUCAACUUGAGUGCAGUAGAGGUAAGUGGAACUCCAUGUGUAGCGGUGGAAUGCGUAGAUAUAUGGAAGAACACCAGCGGCGAAGGCGGCUUACUGGACUGUAACUGACGUUGAGGCUCGAAAGUGUGGGUAGCAAACAGGAUUAGAUACCCUGGUAGUCCACACCGUAAACGAUGAA